rnacentral:rRNA from 1 species
UACGUAGGGGGCAAGCGUUGUUCGGAAUUACUGGGCGUAAAGGGCGCGUAGGCGGCAUGGCAAGUCGGGAGUGAAAGCCCGGGGCUCAACCCCGGAACGGCUUUCGAAACUGCCAAGCUAGAGUACGGAAGGGGCAACUGGAAUUCCCAGUGUAGCGGUGAAAUGCGUAGAUAUUGGGAAGAACACCGGAGGCGAAGGCGGGUUGCUGGGCCGAUACUGACACUGAGGCGCGCAAGCCAGGGGAGCAAACGGG